rnacentral:rRNA from 1 species
GACGAACGCUGGCGGCGUGCUUAACACAUGCAAGUCGAACGGUGAAGCGCCUUCCUUUUUGGUGGGUGUGGAUGAGUGGCGAACGGGUGAGUAACACGUGAGUAACCUGCCCCCUUCUUCUGGAUAACCGCAUGAAAGUGUGGCUAAUACGGGAUUUUCUGGGUCUGUCGCAUGAUGGGUCUGGGAAAGAUAUUGUUUCGGUGGGGGAUGGGCUCGCGGCCUAUCAGCUUGUUGGUGGGGUGAUGGCCUACCAAGGCGGUGACGGGUAGCCGGCCUGAGAGGGUGGACGGUCACACUGGGACUGAGACACGGCCCAGACUCCUACGGGAGGCAGCAGUGGGGAAUAUUGCACAAUGGGCGCAAGCCUGAUGCAGCGACGCCGCGUGAGGGAUGGAGGCCUGCGGGUUGUGAACCUCUUUCGCCAGUGAAGCAGGCCUGCCUCGUUUGUGGGUGGGUUGACGGUAGCUGGAUAAGAAGCGCCGGCUAACUACGUG